GCAAACAUAUUUUUUACUUCAGAGAGAGUGCUUUCACAGCAUUUUUUUUCCACAAGAAGAAUGAAAAAAGAAUCUUUCUCUUAGGUUACCAAGCAUGAAAAGAGGAGGACUGUUUCUACACUGAAGCUUGUCAUUAUACCAGCAGUAUCCAAGCUAUACCAGAGAGGCCCUGAAAGCUAAACUAGAAGGGACCUGAUGAAAGGUUGAUACCAUCCUGAUUCCUUAGGGGAAUAGGUACAAUACUAAGGAAUGAAAAUGACAUCUGCAUUGAUCCUGACUCUCUAGGAAGCAUUGAUUCAGAAAAGUGAACUAGGCCAGUUUAUCUGAAAGGCACUCUUUGUAUUCUGGAAUUCCAGUUUCAAGAGCGAGAGCAUCACAUAUUUGCUAUCGGAUUUGUCCUGAUGUACUGCAAGUCCAUCUUUCUCAAGAUCCCUACUUCAUACAUAGGAAGAUUAGUACACUUAGCAUGUUAAUGUUCCAAGACUUUCACACUACUAUAUCCCUAGCAAAAACCUUUUAACCUUCUCUGCCAGCAGCUGUACCAAAGGGGAGAGGAUGUAGGAAGGAAAAAGUAUUC